GUUUGAGCCUUCAGUGAGUUAUGCUGGCUCCAUCUCACCAUUGCACCACUCCAGCCUGGGCAACAGAGCGAGACUUUGUCUGUUUAAAAAAUUGUUUUUGCCCAAAACAGUUCUUUGUUUUAAGACAUUUGAAAUAUUGAGCCGGUGUCUGACCACAGUAAUUGACCACAGCAUCUCUUACUGCUUGAGACUUUCCCUGAAAUGUGCUGGUAAUAGCAGCCUAGAGGAAGGUGGUUAUAUUUGAUAAGUAGAGGGAGGAGGGCAUAUAUGUGAUUCAUCUAAAAGUUGCAUCCGUUUAUUUAGGUGCAAGUUUGAGAAAGAAGUCCCAGCCCCAGCCUGGAUUUAUUCCACAUGCAUGGAGAGAUUCUGUGAUUUUUGCAUUCUCCAGUAGAAUUGGAACAUUGGUGCCUUUAUUUUCUUGACAUUUAUUACUGAAAGCUUUUCUCAAGACUGUUAAAAAUGAUUAAAAUGGUUAUGUAGCUUUAAAAAGAAUCUUUUUUACUCACCUCACUUAUGACAUUGCGUCCUCUUCUUCCUCUACAGGUAUUGCUUCUGACCAUCCGAGGGCAAGCACACUCUUCCUGAGAAAGUAUCAAAUGAGUGUGCAAGGAAAGAGGAGAAGCUUUUGCCUGUAUUCUAUACCUCCUUGGCGUCUUGAUAGAAAAUACAGCUCGUGUUCCACCAUAUUGCUAGAUAACAGCACAGUCAGCGAGCCUGAUCUCAGGCACACAUUAGAA